GACGAACGCUGGCGGCGUGCUUAACACAUGCAAGUCGAACGGUAAGGCCCUUCGGGGUACACGAGUGGCGAACGGGUGAGUAACACGUGGGUGAUCUGCCCUGCACUUCGGGAUAAGCCUGGGAAACUGGGUCUAAUACCGGAUAGGACCACUGCCUGCAUGGGUGGUGGUGGAAAGCUUUUGCGGGGUGGGAUGGGCCCGCGGCCUAUCAGCUUGUUGGUGGGGUGAUGGCCUACCAAGGCGAGGACGGGUAGCCGGCCUGGGAGGGUGACCGGCCACACUGGGACUGAGGUGCGGCCGAGACUCCUACGGGAGGCAGAAGUGGGGAAUAUUGCACAAUGGGCGCAAGCCUGAUGCAGCGACGCCGCGUGAGGGAUGACGGCCUUCGGGUUGUAAACCUCUUUCAGCACCGACGAAGCGCAAGUGACGGUAGGUGCAGAAGAAGGACCGGCAAACUACGUGCCAGCCGCCGCCGUAA
rnacentral:rRNA from 1 species